rnacentral:rRNA from 1 species
GUGGGGUAAAGGCUCACCAAGCCGACGAUCUGUAGCUGGUCUGAGAGGACGACCAGCCACACUGGGACUGAGACACGGCCCAGACUCCUACGGGAGGCAGCAGUGGGGAAUUUUGGACAAUGGGCGCAAGCCUGAUCCAGCCUUUCCGCGUGCAGGAUGAAGGCCCUCGGGUUGUAAACUGCUUUUGUACGGAACGAAAAGGCUCUGGUUAAUACCUGGGGCUCAUGACGGUACCGUAAGAAUAAGCACCGGCUAACUACGUGCCAGCAGCCGCGGUAAUACGUAGGGUGCAAGCGUUAAUCGGAAUUACUGGGCGUAAAGCGUGCGCAGGCGGUGAUGUAAGACAGAGGUGAAAUCCCCGGGCUCAACCUGGGAACUGCCUUUGUGACUGCAUCGCUGGAGUACGGCAGAGGGGGAUGGAAUUCCGCGUGUA